AUUGAACGCUGGCGGCAUGCCUAACACAUGCAAGUCGAACGAGUGGCGGACGGGUGAGUAAUGUCUGGGAAACUGCUUUAUGGCGGGGGAUAACUACUGGAAACGGUAGUUAAUACCGCAUACCAUCAACUUUUCCCAGAUGGGAUUAUCUUUUUGGUGGGUGAACGGCUCACCAAGGCCACGAUCCAUAGCUGGUCUGAGAGGAUGACCAGCCACACUGGAACUGAGACACGGUCCAGACUCCUACGGGAGGCAGCAGUGGGGAAUAUUCCACAAUGGGCGAAAGCCUGAUGCAGCCAUGCCGCGUGUAUGAAGAAGGCCGUCGGGUUGUAAAGUACUUUCAGCGGGGAGGCGUUACCCGCACAAGAAGCACCGGCUAACUCCGUGCCAGCAGCCGCGGUAAUUC
rnacentral:rRNA from 1 species